rnacentral:rRNA from 1 species
GACGACCGCUGGCGGCGUGCCUAAUACAUGCAAGUCGAACGCAGUGGGGAUGGGUGAGUAACACGUGGGUAACCUCCCCAUCAGAGGGGAUAACACUUGGAAAAAGGUGCUAAACCGAUACGGGUGGAUGGAACCGCGGUGCAUUAGUCAGUGGGGGGGGUAACGGCUCACCAAGGCCACGAGGUAUAGCCGACCGUAGAGUGUGAUCUGCCACACUGGGACUGAGACACGGCCCAGACUCCUACGGGAGGCAGCAGUAGGGAAUCUUCGGCAAUGGACGAAAGUCUGACCGAGCAACGCCGCGCGAGUGAAGAAGGUUUUCGGAUCGUAAAACUCUGUUGUUAGAGAAGCGGUAUCUAACCAGAAAGCCACGGCUAACUACGUGCCAGCAGCCGCGGUAAUAC